rnacentral:rRNA from 1 species
AUUGAACGCUAGCGGCAUGCUCUACACAUGCAAGUCGAACGGUAACAGGCCGCAAGGUGCUGACGUGUGGCGGACGGGCGUGUAAUGCAUCGGAACGGGCCCAGCCGAGGGGGCUAACUUCCCGAAAGAGUAUCUAAUACCGCAUACGAUCUAUGGAUGAUAGCGGGGUACCGCAAGGCCCCCCCCGAUUGGAGCGGCCGAUGUCAGAUUAGGUAGUUGGUGGGGUAAAGGCUCACCAAGCCAACGAUCUGUACCUGGUCUGAGAGGACGACCAGCCACACUGGGACUGAGACACGGCCCAGACUCCUAAGGGAGGCAGCAGUAGGGAAUUUUGGACAAUGGGCGCAAGCCUGAUCCAGCAACGCGGCGUGCAGGAAGAAGGCCUUAGGGUGGUAAAAUGCGUUUGUACGGGACGAAACGGCUCUGGUUAAUACCCGGCGAUAAUGACGGUACCGGAAGAAUAAGCACCGGCUAACUACGUG